rnacentral:rRNA from 1 species
UAGGGAAUCUUCGGCAAUGGACGAAAGUCUGACCGAGCAACGCCGCGUGAGUGAAGAAGGUUUUCGGAUCGUAAAACUCUGUUGUUAGAGAAGAACAAGGACGUUAGUAACUGAACGUCCCCUGACGGUAUCUAACCAGAAAGCCACGGCUAACUACGUGCCAGCAGCCGCGGUAAUACGUAGGUGGCAAGCGUUGUCCGGAUUUAUUGGGCGUAAAGCGAGCGCAGGCGGUUUCUUAAGUCUGAUGUGAAAGCCCCCGGCUCAACCGGGGAGGGUCAUUGGAAACUGGGAGAAUUGAGUGCAGAAGAAGAGAGGGGAAUUUCAUGUGUAGCCGUGAAAUGCGUAGAUAUAUGGAGGAAAACCAGUGGCGAAGGCGGCUCUCUGGUCUGUAACUGACGCUGAGGCUCGAAAGCGUGGGGAGCAAACAGG